rnacentral:rRNA from 1 species
GAUGAACGCUGGCGGCGUGCCUAAUACAUGCAAGUCGAGCGAACGGACGAGAAGCUUGCUUCUCUGAUGUUAGCGGCGGACGGGUGAGUAACACGUGGAUAACCUACCUAUAAGACUGGGAUAACUUCGGGAAACCGUAGCUAAUACCGGAUAAUAUUUUGAACCGCAUGGUUCAAAAGUGAAAGACGGUCUUGCUGUCACUUAUAGAUGGAUCCGCGCUGCAUUAGCUAGUUGGUAAGGUAACGGCUUACCAAGGCAACGAUGCAUAGCCGACCUGAGAGGGGGAUCGGCCACACUGGAACUGAGACACGGUCCAGACUCCUACGGGAGGCAGCAGUAGGGAAUCUUCCGCAAUGGGCGAAAGCCUGACGGAGCAACGCCGCGUGAGUGAUGAAGGUCUUCGGAUCGUAAAACUCUGUUAUUAGUGAAGAACAUAUGUGUAAGUAACUGUGCACAUCUUGACGGUACCUAAUCAGAAAGCCACGGCUAACUACGUG